UUACAAAUGGCAGAGGCAUGCUAUGGAUCCCCUGACUACAUCUCUAUCACCUGUUGCGUGCUAUCAAUGUAUGCACACGUAUAUAUGCAGGCCCCACACAGUGUCUGAACAUUAUACAUGCCACCUUGUGUCUCCGAAGACCAAGAAGAAGGAUACGUAAUGGUGGUAUGAGCUGCUCCCAGCUUCUCCAUGUGGUUCAAUACGAAAAUCAGGCCAAAGGUGAAUACUCCAACCAUGUGCGUACUUAAGGACAGCAAGAAGAGAAAAAAAUAGCGAUAGUUCCUCCGUCCUAUGCAAUUGUUGACCCAUGGGCAGUGAUGGUCAAAGUCCUCAACACAGUUGUCACAGACACUGCAGUGAGAGCAGCGUGGAGGACGGUAGAAGUGGCAGGUGGCACACCAUUUCAUCCGUACUUGGAUUCCUUUAAUCUCCACAUUCUUGUAGAGUGGAGCUCGG
rnacentral:lncRNA from 1 species